rnacentral:rRNA from 1 species
GUAGCUGGUCUGAGAGGAUGACCAGCCACACUGGRACUGAGACACGGUCCAGACUCCUACGGGAGGCAGCAGUGGGGAAUAUUGGACAAUGGGGGCAACCCUGAUCCAGCAAUGCCGCGUGUGUGAAGAAGGCCUGAGGGUUGUAAAGCACUUUCAGUGGGGAGGAGGGUUGAUAGGUUAAGAGCUAAUUAACUGGACGUUACCCACAGAAGAAGCACCGGCUAACUCCGUGCCAGCAGCCGCGGUAAUACGGAGGGUGCGAGCGUUAAUCGGAAUKACUGGGCGUAAAGGGUGCGUAGGUGGUUUAUUAAGUUAUCUGUGAAAUCCCUGGGCUUAACCUGGGCUGGUCARAUAAUACUGRUWGACUCGAGUAUGG